rnacentral:rRNA from 1 species
AGUGAACGCUGGCGGUAGGCCUAACACAUGCAAGUCGAACGGCAGCACAGUAAGAGCUUGCUCUUACGGGUGGCGAGUGGCGGACGGGUGAGGAAUACAUCGGAAUCUACUUUUUCGUGGGGGAUAACGUAGGGAAACUUACGCUAAUACCGCAUACGACCUACGGGUGAAAGCAGGGGAUCUUCGGACCUUGCGCGAUUGAAUGAGCCGAUGUCGGAUUAGCUAGUUGGCGGGGUAAAGGCCCACCAAGGCGACGAUCCGUGGCUGGUCUGAGAGGAUGAUCAGCCACACUGGAACUGGGACACGGUCCAGACUCCUACGGGAGGCAGCAGUGGGGAAUAUUGGACAAUGGGCGCAAGCCUGAUCCAGCCAUACGGCGUGGGUGAAGAAGGCCUUCGGGUUGUAAAGCCCUUUUGUUGGGAAAGAAAAGCAGCAGGUUAAUACCCCGCUGUCCUGACGGUACCCAAAGAAUAGCACCGGCUAACUUCGUG